rnacentral:lncRNA from 1 species
ACGAAGCCAGGAGGCGGCGCAGGCUUAACGCGUCACGGGCGGCCUGGCAGCUGGCGGCAUUGAGGCGGACGCGUCUAGAGGUCCGUCUGACCGCGGCGUCGGGACCUGGUUUCCGGGCAUGAGCUGAGAGCACCACGCCGAGGCCACGAGUAUUUCAUAGACAUUGAUGGAAGCAGAAACCAAAACUCUUCCCCUGGAGAAUGCAUCCAUCCUUUCAGAGGGCUCUCUGCAGGAAGGACACCGAUUAUGGAUUGGCAACCUGGACCCCAAAAUUACCGAUGUUCCGAUAAUUUUAAGAAAUUAUCAAACAAGAAAAGAAAUCCUGGAGAAGUUGAAAGACACAAACCUAAGCAGAUGUUCCUGGAAUCUUAAGAUACCACCUCCUCAAGCUCCUCCAGAAGUUUGGCAAGGUAAAGCAGUUUGACUUCCUCUUCCACAAGUCAGGUGCUUUGGAGGGACAGCCUCGAGGCUACUGUUUUGUUAACUUUGAAACUAAGCAGGAAGCAGAGCAAGCCAUCCAGUGUCUCAAUGGCAAGUUGGCCCUGUCCAAGAAGCUGGUGGUGCGAUGGGCACAUGCUCAAGUAAAGAGAUAUGAUCAUAACAAGAAUGAUAAGAUUCUUCCAAUCAGUCUCGAGCCAUCCUCAAGCACUGAGCCUACUCAGUCUAACCUAAGUGUCACUGCAAAGAUAAAAGCCAUUGAAGCAAAACUGAAAAUGAUGGCGGAAAAUCCUGAUGCAGAGUAUCCAGCAGCGCCUGUUUAUUCCUACUUUAAGCCACCAGAUAAAAAAAGGACUACUCCAUAUUCUAGAACAGCAUGGAAAUCUCGAAGAUGAUGGUUGUGAAUUACUGUAGCAGCAAAAGCAAAUUGGUCUCCACACCUAAAAUCGUCUGCCUGUGUACUUUGUAGAUGUGAAUGGUACUAUUCAACGGAGCACAAUCACAUGUUAGCAUUUGGUAACAUAAUGUUUUUGGAUGUUCUUAUGGAUGUUUCUUCCCUAAACUAUGUAUGGAAUUGAGCAUCAUCCAGAAUAAAUAGCGUUGUAUCCCAAAUUGUGAUUUGAACCCUGGGAUGCUCUAAUUGGCUGGUUGGUUUGGAUUUGUAACUCCAGAAACAUUCUAUAGUGUGCCAGAGCAAAAGGCAAAUACACAAAAUAUUAUUUAAAUCAGGAAACUAAAAAUAUUAACAUCUAUUAAAAAAUUGAGCAUUUUUCUACGCUCGUGUGUCUUUUACAACAUAAAGAAAAAGUAAAAGGCAGGGAGGGAAGUGAGAGACAGAUUUUAAAUCAUGUUCAGAACUGUUGUUCCAGAAUUUACUACGGCAAUCCCUCCAACUGGACUGAAAAAGAGAAAGUUCUUGGCAAAAAGGAGCUGAUUCUUUGAACAAAUGUUGUAGUAAUCUGUUUAAGAAUUAUGCUUAUUGUUUCAAAAUCCCAACUAGGAAAACAUGGUGUAUAUCUUAAAAUUGUUUGUGUUGACAAAACUAGAAUCAAAUUUAACAUUUUAUACCACAACACAAGUUCUAUUUGGAAAUUGAACUUUUAUUCUAUAGCAACCAUUUUUUUCAAAUCUAAAUAACCAUGCCUUCUAUAAUAACAAAUGUUGCUAUUAUCAUGGGACUUUUAAAAUUACAUUUAUUGCAUGGGAUUGUUUUUAUAGCAUGAGAAUGUUCUGUUUGGAAUUAUAUCAUGGUCAGUCUAAAUAGAAAAAGCAAAAUUUCUUUGAAAACCUAAACAUUGCUAUAUUGGUCACUAUCAAACAUACAAUUUUCUAAUAAUUGUGUAGCGGUCUAAGUGGAAGAGAUUGCAUUAUCUUGUGCAGGACGAGGAGAGGACAUGCAGUGGGCACAGAAAGUCAAUGGAACAGAUGCCACUGUGGCACCAAGACUGUAAUGACUCUGUGUGGUAGGUAGUUUUAAAGGACUGCAUGCCUUGGAAAUGAUUCUUCACUUGGAGAACAUACUUGCCUCUAGAUAUGUUUGUCACUCUAAGCAUCCUGAAUAUAACAAUAGAGAAAGAUAAGUCAACCAACAGAUUUAGGGAUGUGUUUCUUCAGCACAUUUUGGUCAUUUUGAUGCCAAGUUUGACAUACUGUUUAAUUGGGCAGCACCUUUGCUCCUUUACCAGGUAUGUAUCACUUUGUUACUCCAGGUGCCAUUCUUGGUGAUGACAGAAUGUUUAUCACUAUCGUUGUUAGCAAGAGGAAGCUUUCAAUAUAGGAACUUAACAUCUUCCCAUGAGUAUAAAUGAAUUUAAGACAUUUGAAUCAAAACUUCAGUAGAGGGAGGUUUUAGAAUUCAUAAAACUGGUUUAAGGAAAUUCUUUUUACUUUUCCCAAGGUUAAUCUUUUUAAAUAUCUCUAGACAUCAAAUACUUUCUGUAUGUAUUAGCUGUGUCUGUCUAUGAUGCAAGUAACUCUCCUCCUAUUUGGGGGAUAGUUCAGAGAGGUAGGAGCAUUAUCUCCCAUUUUUCUGGUGACUUCUUGGAGUAUAGAAUUCACCAUUUUAUCCGUAAGUCUUCAAAGGAUUAUGGUGGACUAGAACUUACAUAGUGCAAAAUAGUCUUCUAUUUUUAAUAGGAACUUAGAAAAAACUUAGAAUUAUAUAUAGAGUUGUUUCCUUUAGAAACCAGAGCUAUUUAUUUGUAUUUAAAGCACUGUUUAUUAUUUGUACUGAUUCUUAUCCCUCUGUGUGAAUAAAUGUAAGACGGUGUCCGUGUGGUUAUAUCUUCUCUCGUUCACUUACUGGCAUAGACUGCAGUUCUCUGACAGGCUUGUUUCCACUCAGGACUCUGGCCAGCAUGUCCACGUGGGGUGCUUCUUCUAAGUGCCUUCUCUGCAGAGGGUUCUGGCUAGAGAGUCAAACUGAGAGGCAACUCUCUUUACCCUUUAUGCCUGCCUACCUCUGUUGUUAGAGAUGAGAAUAGAGACCAGCUGUUUCCAUUGCAAAUGUCACUAUUUGAAAAGAAGUUGUUAAUGGAAAUCUCUGCAAGUAUCGUACUGUGUUUAGUCUCUCGUGGUAGAGAUUUCAAAAGAAGAAAUGUAUGUAUCCUAAAUAUGCUGAAAGCAGUCUGAUGAAAGGUUUUUAAAUUUCAGGUGUUAACUUGGUCAACUCUUUGUUAGGAGGUUGUCUGUACUUUAAGUAAAAUUAUUCUUUGGUUUACUGGU